rnacentral:lncRNA from 1 species
GAUGAGGAAAAAAAUCCGAGUCAGAUCAAAUGGUUAGGAAGAAUAGAUUUCAUAUUUAAAAUUUUCAUAACUCUUAUAAAAGUUAUCUUGAUGCGCAGCAGAACCAAGAUCAAAAUUGUUGAAUUUAAGAAACCUAUUGCUUCAUGAGAUCCAGAUAUGCAGAUCUUCUACUUCAUAUGCACGUCAAGUAACGCAGGAG